CGGGGUUGAAACUGAUAAGAAUUUUAGCUUCUUUUUCUUUGCUUCCAAUUUGGCUGUUUCUCAGAGACAUCUUUCCUUUAAGCAAGCAAGUAAGAAGUAAAAAUCAGAAACUUUAUCAGCAAAUCCAGUAUGCAGUCUGCGGAGUUCAACAUGAAAAUGCUGAUAGAAAAAGGACCUUCAGUAUGAAAAUCCGAUGAGAGCAGUUCAGGAGUCACUGCACCAGCAACGAGACAGAGAAGAACGACUUGCUCUCACAUAUUAGUGAUGGCAAAGUGUGUGUGAGCCUCUG
rnacentral:lncRNA from 1 species